UUUUUUUUUUUUUCGGCGGAGAUCCUCGUUGGGGCUGGGAAACUCCUGCAAAACUCGAGACCAGGAAGCCAGCCCGCACCCCAACCCCCACCAAAGCCACCUACUCUUCUUCUGUGGGAGGCCAGUCCACAUCCGCUCUCACCCGAGAGAGAUAUUCAGCUGGAUCCAAAGUGACUGAUGAAGGGAAGGAAAUCAUGUCAAGCGAAGCCUUGAAAAAGCUGCCCUGAGACGGUGUCCCGCCGAAAGUCUUUCAGCUCACAGCAGGAUGCUAAUCCAUGAAGGUGACCUCGCAGUACUGGUUAAUUAAGCUUUAUUGCUCACUGAAAAAGAAAAAAAA
rnacentral:lncRNA from 1 species